CGCUGGGAUUACAGGCGUGAGCCAUGCAUAUUUCCUUGUUAAUGAUAACUACAAUAGCAAAGAGUUAUUGAGUGAACACUGACAAUGACCCUAUGAGGUAGAGAUGUUAGGUAUCAUCAGACAAACUUAAAGAUGAUCUGACAAUGUCAUUUUCCAAGGGACUGAUAGAAAGAUUGAGUAUCAUGAAAUCAGAACAGACAACAGAGAAUCAGAUUUGGACUGAAUCAGAAUAA
rnacentral:lncRNA from 1 species